GGUCUCUGACCUUCUCCACCAUCAUGGCUGACGUUUUUUCUCCGCUUUAACAUCCAUUGUUCUUGAUGUGGGAGUGCACAGACACAACACACACACAACACACACUACAGGGUUAAACUUGACGAAUGGGGGCACCACAAUACGUGAACACAGUGGAGAGGAGGCGGUUGUAUGAGCAGUUUACAUCUGAGGGGAUCACAGCAAUAAAAAACAUUUUGGAACCCAAGGGGGGGUUCAAGAACAAGUUCAACUGUGGGAAUAACAGCGGCUGCUUUUACCAGGAGAGGCAGAUUUAUUCGCUGCUUCGCCAUCUGCGGUGACCUUUAUGAAUAUCUGGAAAGAAAAAAGGAACUUUCUCAGAAUCUGAAAUGUCAACGCUAAGGCUGAUCUGCUCACCUGUAGCAGUGAGACUGGGAUGAUCUAAUAGCAGGGUCUUUGUUGGACCACCAGCCAGUAUAAUGUUAUUGUAGUGAGCUAUAAAGCAGUAAAAGAGCACACAGGUGUGUUGGGGAUGAUGGGCUACCUCCUCCAGUGAUGUGUCAGAGAUCCCAAAGCUGCUGAGGCCCAUGUCAGCGAGCGUCUCCUCCAGCUCCCUGAACAGGCUGGCGUACGCUCUGUGUUUGAAGCCCUUGUUGGGGAGCAGGUAGGUCAGCUCCUGACCGAUGGUCUCAAUCAGUUUGGCUUCAGGGACGUGGUGGUGGAUGAGGCUGCUGAUGCUGUCCACAUUGCCUGCAAGGACGGAUGGAAAAUCUCUGCUUAAAGAGGGAAGCGCGUGCAAAAAUAGCAGAGCAGAGGUCCUUCAUCCGGCGGACGAGUGUCAGGUAGAAGCCGACCCCGAAACAGUUCUUGAGGAAAAGCGGCGUUCCACUGCAGUGCAGCUGCCCUUUGGAGAUGAUGGCGAUGCGGUCGCUCAGGAGGUCGGCUUCAUCCAUGUGAUGAGUGGAGAGAAUGACUGUCCGGCCUGCACAGGAGCCCAAUAAACUCUGAAUAGUCUGAUGUAACGUAACGUUUCCGGUAACAUUACAUCGUCUUUUAUUAUCGUCUUUGGUUUUAUUGUCAUUGAAUCUGUACAGCUAAGAUCCUUUGUUUCAUCUCGGUGCCUCGGGGAGUCUCGAUGCCACGCCAGGUUUGUUUCCACUCUUGUUUCAGCUAUUUAAAACGGGCACACUCACCAGCUCUGUAUUUCAGCAGCAGGUCCCAAAUGGACCUCCUGGAAUAGGGGUCUACUCCUGAGGUGGGUUCGUCCAAAAUGACAACCUUUGACCCGCCAACGAACGCCAUGGCAACCGACAACUUCCUCUGCAUCCCACCUGUGGGAGGCGUUAGGGGCAAAUGAAAGCCUGGAUUCAGCUCUAUGCUGCUGGUUUAUCUCUUUGAAAGCGGAGGAGGAGUGUUUCACCUGAGAGGUUCUGAGCCUCGUCGUCUCUCUUGUGAGGCAACGCGAGGUCCACCAACAUGGCCUCAACCUCCCGCUCGGCCUCCGCCUGCGUGCGACCUUUCAGCAGCGAGUAGAAAAGGAUGUGCUCCUCCACCGUGAGGCUGCAAUAAACAAGAACUUUCAAUACGCCUGGAUGGCGACGCGAGUCAGGAAGUUCUGUUUUCCAUACAGACUAGAUUACUUUGGACAGUGCCAGAAGAGAAAAUUGAUUCAAACUAAUUCACAAUUCCUUUAAAAAUCAUUAAUCCUAUUGGAUAUUAGCCCAUGUUAUGGAGAAUAAACACUGUUACUGACUGUUUAAAGAGGACAUUGUACUGGGGACACAUCCCCAGAGAAGAGCGGAUGCUAUCGAUGUCGGUGCGGAUGUCUCGUCCAUUGAUGUAGGCGGUACCAGACGUAGGCGGGAAGAGACCAGUCAGGAUGGACCUGGAGCAGAACAGAAGGUAACACCAUGUGACAUAUCUUUCAUUCUCUUGUUAGAGGGACUUUCAACUCAGACGAUGAAGGCUUCUGAGGCUGUACGAAAGCUUGGGAUUGUUGGUUACUUUUGCUUACGACUUCUGCUCAAGACUAUUCAACAUUUCAAUUAGUUUUGCAGGAAUAUAUUUGAUUCCAAGAUUUUUGCCUCGGAAUUCUGACUCUGAGCUCAGAACACCUUUGCCUCUUCCAAGAUGACAAGACAACAUAAAUGCUUUUCACAAUUAUAGCAAAACAAAUAUUGAAACAACAACGUUCAGUUUUACUCCGAAUGAGGUCGGGAGAAGUCUCGCUUCACCGUACAUGGUUGUAGUUUUCCCGGCUCCAUUGUGUCCCAAGAAGGAUGUAAUCUGGCCCUCGUAGAAGUUGAUACUCAGACAGUCGACCGCCGGUCGAGAACUUCCAUCAAACACCUUCACCAGGUCUAUGACUUGCACCCCCAGAACCAGACCCACUGGGUCGGCCUCGAAGAACGUCUGACCUGUAUUAGGAUCAGAGACAAAGACAGCAAUAUUUGCAUGAAUCAAAGAUCCUCUAUUUGUCCCCUUCAUGCUUACACAUUCAUAAUUAUCUAAAUCACUCUAUUCUAGAUUUGUUUCAUCACAUAAAACAAUAAAUUCAUAAACUAACAGAAAUUCCCUUUUCUAAUUCUUUAUCCGGUCCGAGUGGUGUCCUUCCAUUGUCCACCAGAUGUCCCCAGUGUGUUUCCUACACAGUAUUUAUGUCCAGUCUGGUGUCAGGUGACGUUUGUGCCCCCUCACCUUCUGCUCCUGCCUCCUCCUCCGGGUUUGGGGUGUCCUCCUGGUGUCUCAGCAGUUCCUUCUCCCUCUCUAGUAGGUCUCUCUUAUUUUGGUGCUUACAGGUCUUUUUGCUGCCUGAGCCAUUGCAGUUGUAGUUCUCUGGGGAGCUGUCUCCGUCCUGCUGCACCUCAGGGGGAUUCUCUGCAUCUGGAACUGACAGGUCUCAGAGUCAGAGUCCUUGACAGAUUUGACACCAACGCUGCAAGAAACUUGAAGCAAAAGUUAAACCCGGCCUUCAUCCAACCUUGAUCAGCCGUCUCUGCACAUGGCGGUGCAGUAGUUUGCCAGUAUGAGGCUUGAAAUGGGAAGUAGAAUGGACGUCCAAUGCCAUACUGUCCUGUAAGGGGUAAAAAAAAAAAUCUAUAGAGCCGAUCGCGUUGUCUACAGUUUGGUGUGAAACUUCAUUAUUGGAGCCUAACCUGGGAAAACAUUGUCCAGAUACCAUGCAAGGACAGCAUAGAGGACGGCGUCAAAGGUCAUCAUGAGGAUGGACAUGAGGAAAGAGAAGGUGUCUUUCUCUAAUGGGCUGGUCUGAAUGUUGUCCCACUGCAGACCCAAACCCUGCUCCUCAUAUCGCGAAAGGUACUCUGUCCCAAAGCCAAAGGCCACUUGAGACAGCAAGCUCUGGAGGGUCAGGAGGACACGUUCAGUA
ensembl:lncRNA